UUUAGUUUUAGUCUUAGUCAUUUUGACGAAAUGCUUCUUCGUUUUAGUCCCAUUUUAGUCAUUUCUAUCCUUGAUAGUUUUCGUCUAGUUUUAGUCCGACGAAAACUCAAAAGGUUUUAGUCUAAUUUUAGUCGACGAAAAGGUGCCUUUUGAGGUUCGUGGUGUUCUUUCCCGACAGUUUGAAGCCGCAGCAUGAGGAAGCUGUGGCUCCACAACUGUCGUCUGUCUCGUCUCCCCGUCCCCGUACAAGACAUUGUGUUUUAUUGUCACUUGAACUGUAACUGAAGUAGGACCAAAAAUCAUCCCUCUUUUUUCGGCCACCGGG